CCUGCGGCUUGGCUGAGUCUCACACCCUUGCAGCUGUCCUGGCCUGGAGGAUGCACGAAGAAGAUGCCUCCCCAGAACCCUGGCUGCUCCAGCCUCUCAGGGGUGCCUGGUGCAGAACGAAUAUAACCUGAUGGUCUGGUGUAGGCCCUGGAGCCAGACUGCUCGAGUUCCUGGGUUCAAGUCCUCGCUUUGCAUUUACCAACAGAACAACUAUGGGCGUGUUUUUUCAACCUCUCUGAACUUCCGUUUCCAUUUGUCAAACGGGGCUAAUGAUUGUCCCUACUGCAUGGCAUCUCCGUGAGGAUUUAAAUGAGAUGAUCCAUAAGCUGGGCGCACUGGAAGUCUCUGUAAUAGUUGGCCGCAGUAUUUUUAUCCCUUGAUGUUCCAGUCGGGGGCAGCCCCUCUCUCCUGCUGCUCAGGGCGCCCUCCUCCUGGGGCUGCUGGGGAGCAGACAGACAGGAGACAGCGCAGUCUGAGGGUGGAAUGUGCGUGUGUUCAAGUGGAGCUGAUCCGUGAUGCAGGCCCUGGAAUUCACUGCGCUCAUCUGCCGAAUCCCAAAUGGAAACAAAUACAAAUGCUUUUUAUAAACAAAGACAGUGUCUUAAAAAGAGCACAAACCAAUGAGCCGGUCUAAACUGGAACUGACUCUCUGGGUUUUCUGACAAUUUUCUAUCUAAACAACCUCCCCACCCCCGUCCCCUGCACCAGACCUGACUUUGCUCCAGGCCUGGAUGCCAGUGGCUGCCUGCACCUCCCUCUCCCGCAGCCAAGCCACGUGCCGGGGACUCUCCAGCUGUGGGAAAUUCCUCCGGCUGCCAGCAGCUUCUCUUACGGAGCCAACUGCUGCGAGGGGAGCCGAUGUGGCCCUUGCCCUUUGGGGGGUACUGAGGUCAUCAGACUUGUUCCCCCCAGACCCGGGACACGUGUGCAGCUUCGCAGUGAGGCUGAAGGUUCCCAUGCCCCACGGCCCCUUGACCACACCAUCUGAGAGGCAGAGGUCAUCUUGGAAGAGCAAUGUUAUCACCUUCUACUGCCUCAAGUGAGAUGAAGGAGAAAUCUGAAAUCAGGAUCCAGCAGUAAUUGAAUCCAUCUUUGGGAUUUUUAGUUGUUCAUCAGUACAAUUUCUUUUCUGGCGGGAUCCAGGUGCUCAGAAACAGGCCUCCUGUCGUCUCUCAUCUCUGCAGUUGCUUUGGGUUGGUUGGCUUCUUCCCCAGGUGGCUUGUCUACAUGCUGGUCCAAUUGGCCAUUAGCAGCUUCGGGACUUUGCAUUUAUAAUGGUUCCAGCAAAAGUCACUCUUAUUGGCCUCGCAUUGGUCAAUGCCCAUUCCUGUAUCAAUCAUAAUGGCCAGGGGAUUGCCAUGCUUUCACUGUCACAUAUCUGCUCACCUCUGUGAUCUGGGGCUGGAGCCAUCUCCACCCAGCCCACAUGAAUGGAGAAUAGGGAGAGGUCGUUCCUAAAAGGAAGAGGUGGAUGCCAGGCCAGCACAAAAAACUGUUCACUUACUCAACCUGAUUAUUAUUCUUGUGGAAGGCAACAUGGAGACAUUCUUAAUGUGCCGGGAUUCAGAAAGUAAACCAUCCAUUACUGCUUCUGAAAAAUUGCUUGAAGAACUAUAACUGAGAAAUGAAUCAAAAUAAGAAUCGCAAUACGGGCGAUGCGCUAUGAAAGAAGUGGUGGCGAGCAAUAAAACUGUAAACCUUGGAGUUAAUGUAUAAACU
rnacentral:lncRNA from 1 species